GAAUAAAUUCAUUAUAAGCUAAGUAUUUCGAUAUAAUCAACCAAAGCAUUCAACAAGAUGUCAGAUAUAUGUCCUCCCGGAAAAACGGAAUGGCCCGGGUGGGUAUAGAAUAUUCUAUUGCUGUUAGGAUAAUAGAAAAGGAGAAUCCUCAUGUCAAACUAUCGCGGGGAGUUCGAGAAUUAUGAAUUACAAUCCUGGACGAGUUUGGGUUGGGUUGAUGUCAACAUUGAGAAUAAGUGUGUUUUAAUUCCUAGAGCAGGUUAAGGAAUGUAAUAUUAUAAAGUAUAUGAAAUUACUAAUAAAGUAGUGUGUGACUACCGUUUUAAUUA